AUUGAACGCUAGCGGGAUGCCUUACACAUGCAAGUCGAACGGAGUGGCGAACGGGUGAGUAAUGUAUCGGCACGUGCCCAGUAGCGGUGGAUAACUACGCGAACGCGUAGCUAAUACCGCAUACUCUUGGAGCGUCCGAUCUCGGAUGAGCUAGUUGGUGGGGUAACGGCUCACCAAGGCGACGAUCCGGAGCUGGGUUGAGGGGACGACCAACCACACGGGGACGGGGAAACGGCCCAGACUCCUACGGGAGGCAGCAGUGGGUAAUUUUGGACAAUGGGGGAAACCCGGAUCCAGCCAGCCCGCGUGUGCGAUGAAGGCCUUCGGGUUUUAAAGCACUUUUGGCAGGAAAGCGGUACCUGCAGAAUAAGCACCGGCUAACUACGUGCCAGCAGCCGCGGUAAUAC
rnacentral:rRNA from 1 species